AUGAAUGUGAGCUUUAGGCUUUUUGCUAAAGGGUUUGCGUCACGGCUUGCUCCGGUUGCACAUAAGGUGAUUGGCCAAGCCCAAACAUCCUUUAUUAGAGGGCGAAGUAUUCUAGAUGGUGUGGUUGUGUUACAUGAAGUGCUCCAUGAGAUUUGGACAUUUAAGGAAGAGUUGUUUAUCCUAAAGAUUGACUUUGAGAAAGCAUACGAUAGGGUGAGAUGGGAGUUCAUUGAGGAGGUUCUUCGAGAGAAGGGAUUUGACCCAUUAUGGACCAGUUGGAUGUGCCAGCUUGUGAGAGGGGGCCAGACUGUAGUUAACAUUAAUGGCCACAUAGGAUCCUACAUUAGGAAUAAACGUGGAGUUCGUCAAGGCGACCCUAUCUCCCCCCUUUUGUUUAAUAUCAUCACCGAUGCCUUGGCUGGCAUCCUUGAUCGUGUUAAGCCCGCGAAACACAUAUCCGGGGUAGCAUCCAAUAUCAUUCCUGGAGGGAUAUCUCAUUUGUAG
rnacentral:rRNA from 1 species